GCUUCCGGCAUCUGGCUCAGUUCCGCCAUGGCCUCCUUGGAAGUCAGUCGUAGUCCUCGCCGGUCUCGGCGGGAGCUGGAAGUGCGCAGUCCACGACAGAACAAAUAUUCGGUGCUUUUACCUACCUACAACGAGCGCGAGAACCUGCCGCUCAUCGUGUGGCUGCUGGUGAAAAGCUUCUGCGAGAGUGGAAUCAACUAUGAAAUUAUAAUCAUAGAUGAUGGAAGCCCAGAUGGAACAAGGGAUGUUGCUGAACAGUUGGAGAAGAUCUAUGGGUCAGACAGAAUUCUUCUAAGACCACGAGAGAAAAAGUUGGGACUAGGAACUGCAUAUAUUCAUGGAAUGAAACAUGCCACAGGAAACUACAUCAUUAUUAUGGAUGCUGAUCUCUCACACCAUCCAAAAUUUAUUCCUGAAUUUAUUAGGAAGCAAAAGGAGGGUAAUUUUGAUAUUGUCUCUGGAACUCGCUACAAAGGAAAUGGAGGUGUAUAUGGCUGGGAUUUGAAAAGAAAAAUAAUCAGAUCUGAUUGUUUUAUUUGGCAGCCGUGGGGCCAAUUUUUUAACUCAGAUCUUGCUGAGACCAGGAGCAUCUGAUUUAACAGGAAGUUUCAGAUUAUACCGAAAAGAAGUUCUAGAGAAAUUAAUAGAAAAAUGUGUUUCUAAAGGCUACGUCUUCCAGAUGGAGAUGAUUGUUCGGGCAAGACAGUUGAAUUAUACUAUUGGCGAGGUUCCAAUAUCAUUUGUGGAUCGUGUUUAUGGUGAAUCCAAGUUGGGAGGAAAUGAAAUAGUAUCUUUCUUGAAAGGAUUAUUGACUCUUUUUGCUACUACAUAAAAGAAAGAUACUCAUUUAUAGUUACGUUCAUUUCAGUUUAAACAUGAAAGAAGCCUGGUUACUGAUUUGUAUAAAAUGUACUCUUAAAGUGUAAAAUAUAAGGUAAGGUAAAUUUCAUGCAUCUUUUUAUGAAGACCACCUAUUUUAUAUUUCAAAUUAAAUAAUUUUAAAGUUGCUGGCCUAAUGAGCAAUGUUCUCAAUUUUCGUUUUCAUUUUGCUGUAUUGAGACCUAUAAAUAAAUGUAUAUAUUUUUUUGCAUAAAGUA
rnacentral:sRNA from 1 species